CCCGCACAAGCGGUGGAGCAUGUGGUUUAAUUCGACGCAACGCGAAGAACCUUACCAGGGCUUGACAUCCCCUGACCGCGUAUGAAAGUACGUUUUCACCCUCGGGUGACAGGGAGACAGGUGGUGCAUGGUUGUCGUCAGCUCGUGUCGUGAGAUGUUGGGUUAAGUCCCGCAACGAGCGCAACCCCUACGUUUAGUUGCUAACGCGUGAAGGCGAGCACUCUAGACGAACUGCCGUUGACAAAACGGAGGAAGGUGGGGAUGACGUCAAAUCAUCAUGCCCCUUAUGUUCUGGGCUACACACGUGCUACAAUGGCCGGUACAGACGGACGCAAAGCCGCGAGGUGGAGCAAAUCCUAAAAAGCCGGUCUCAGUUCGGAUUGCAGGCUGCAAUUCGCCUGCAUGAAGUCGGAAUUGCUAGUAAUUGCAGAUCAGCAUGCUGCAGUGAAUACGUUCCCGGGCCUU
rnacentral:rRNA from 1 species